AUAAUCAUUGUUGUGUUGUGCGUCAUUCAUAUGAACUAAUGGGACCCACAAGGGGUCGGAUCCACAAGGGAUCAAAGAGCUGAACGGCCCACAAGGGGUCAGGUCCACAAGGGACCGAGACUAGUCUCACAAGAUGUCAGCUAAGUGAAAAAUUAUAAGAGUUCAACAUGUUAUGAUUCAUUACACAAUUGGUUAUAACUGCUUGCAGUGUUUACCCCACA
rnacentral:lncRNA from 1 species